GAAAGUGGGCCUGGAGAUGCGCGCGGAGCAGCCCCAGGCCUGUAAGUGUGUGACGCGGCUGGCCCUGGGUGAGGAAAGGAGAGGGGGAGCCUCACUGGCGUGGACUGCGCCCUUGUGGGAGAUGAGAGGGGAAGCCUCGGAGCACACAGAGGCUGGCCCUGUGGUGAAUUCCUCAGGGACAUCUCACUUGCCACAAGGAUUGCAGUGGCCCACUUGGAGAAGCUUUCAGUUGUUUUCCAAUUCUUUGGUUUCUUAUUUUCUACAUUAAAUCACACUUUUCAUUCCCAUCAACAUAGAGGAACUCCCUUAAUGAUAACAGAGAGACAGAAAUUCCUCCACUCCUGCCUAUGACACCAUUUUGCUGCUGAGAGGCAUCUCACCAGUAUGGAAAUCAAACAUGGCUUCCAGCAGGUGGACAGUGCGGAAGGUCACGGGCUCAGAAGCAGGGAGACUAUGGAGAACUUGGCUUUCCACAGCAAAUUAAGUCAUCCAUGAGACCUUUUUCAUUUACUGGGAACUGGAUUUAUGGAUGCUUUUAAGGCCUGAAAGAGCUUGAAUACAGAUGUUCCUUGUGGAGGGUACCUGGGCUUGUGUGGUUACAUGACCAACCCAGAUGAUUAUUGUGGAGGGUACAUGGGUUUGUGUGGCUGAAUGAUCAACACAGAUGAUUACUAUUUUUGUUAAUAACAGGUGACACAAAUUUCUUAUUGCUUAAGAAAGGGCUAGGAAAAAUACUAAUAUCUUUGUUAAACAUUUUAUGCAAUCAUAAGAAUAUGCUAAAGCCCAUUGCAGAUGUAAAUAUAUGUUGGAUUAUAGAAGAUAUAUCCAUAUAUAUCCUGGAUAUAUAUAAAAAUGAAAUGAUCCUUUCAGUUUAAUAAAUUUUGAAAAAUAAUUUGUCUUUUAAGAAGAAAAAAGUGAAUGUUCCCAUUAUUUGCAUUAGUUUACAUCAAGCAAACCAAGCUUCUUGAAACAAUAUGACUUCUGCAGGGCAUGAAUUUGGGUUUUACCCGACUGUAGAGCUAUGCCAACUUUUGCUCCUUGUCUGGUGAGAAUACCUUUGACUUUUUGAUCUAUCAUUUUUUUCUGUCUCUGUGCUAACCCUUUUUAACAGGAAUUUGAGAAGGGCAAUGUAGAAAAAUGUUAUCCAAUGAUGAACACAUUUUUAUGUUAUGUGUACACAUAUAUGUACACAUACAUGCAUGCUUCAGGACAUCAUAAAAAUCAGUCUAUGCUGACAUGUGACUAUUGGCGUAGUAUAGAUAACACAGGAAGACUAUGCUCCCAGAAAUGCAGUGACAGCUGCCACCUCCUGAUCAAAGUAUUCAUAUUUUGGCCUUAAUGAAUCUGAAUGUAAUGAUACAAGAAAAAAAAAAAAAGAAAAUAAAAA